AGAAGCAGCUCAGCGAGUGGAGCCCGAUCAUCAUCUCACACUUCCCUCUUCCCCGAAUCCUUUUAAAACUCUCCCCCGGGUUUCUACCCUCCCGAACCUCUCCCUUUCUACCCUCACAACCCCACCCCCUCCCCGACAACGCAUCCCAAAACACGGAUCAGAUCCAAUCUUUGUGACCAUACCCCAGUUUUGACCCAUCUGCAGCAGCUACUCUCCCAUCCAGUGGUAGUUAUGGACUCCGGUGUUAUUGAAGGAGGACUCAAUGUCACCCUGACCAUUAGAUUGCUCAUGCACGGCAAGGAAGUUGGAAGCAUUAUUGGCAAGAAAGGUGAAUCUGUGAAGAAGAUGAGAGAAGAGAGCGGAGCUCGCAUCAACAUCUCAGAGGGCAACUGUCCUGAGAGGAUCAUCACUUUGGCAGGCCCCACCACCGCCAUCUUCAAAGCGUUCUCCAUGAUCAUCGAAAAGCUGGAAGAGGACAUCAGCAGCUCCAUGACGAACAGUACGGCCACCAGCAAGCCCCCUGUCACCCUCCGUAUCGUGGUGCCAGCCAGCCAGUGUGGGUCCCUCAUUGGCAAGGGAGGCUGCAAGAUCAAAGAAAUCCGAGAGUCGACAGGUGCUCAGGUACAGGUGGCAGGGGACAUGCUUCCUAACUCUACAGAACGGGCCAUCACCAUCGCAGGGACCCCCCAGUCCAUAAUUGAGUGUGUCAAGCAAAUCUGCGUGGUUAUGCUCGAGGUAAGUUCUCCCCCUAAGGGGGUCACCAUCCCAUACCGACCAAAACCUUCAGGAUCCCCUGUCAUCUUUGCUGGAGGACAGGCGUACGCCGUUCAAGGACAACAUGCGAUACCACAGCCAGAUUCUUCCUCUAUCUCUCCACAGCUCACCAAGUUACACCAGCUGGCCAUGCAGCAGAGCCCCUUCCCAAUGGCCCCAAGCAACCAAGGAUUCCAAGGAGGGAUGGAUGCGUCUGCCCAAACUAGUUCCCAUGAGAUGACCAUUCCAAAUGAUUUGAUUGGCAGCAUCAUUGGUCGCCAGGGUGCUAAGAUCAAUGAGAUCCGCCAGAUGUCGGGUGCCCAGAUAAAGAUAGCUAACCCUGUCGAGGGCUCCGCAGACAGACAGGUCACCAUCACUGGUUCCCCCGCCUCCAUCAGCCUGGCAGAGUACCUCAUCAACGCCAGAUGAACAUGGUACCUUCAGGCAUUUGGAACUUGCUUCCAAGGAAGGAACCAGACCCUUGGAAGUCUACAAUUUGUUUCUGAGGUAUUGGCUGAUUUUCUUUCGAUUUUCCCAUGAUGUCAAGCAGAGGCACUGAGUUUGAAGGCUCUCCUCUGAAGCUACAGGACUGGCGGCCAACUGAUAGAACAGACUCUGCAUAGAUGUGAUCUGCACUAAUCCCCCCCCACAUUUUACCUUCUACCACCAAUCGAUCCAUCAGUCAGCUCUCUCCUUUUAAAGUGGUCAAUGCAACUAUCCAACUUAGUUUAUUUGUAUGAAAAUCACGCCCACCCACCUGAUUUUACUUUGAUCUGCAUUCAUUUAUGUUUUUUAUUAAGGCGCUUUGUGCCCCAGUUGGAUGUUUUUAAUGAUUUGUUCUUAGGUUCUUUUUUGUUGAAGGGAGAAAGUUUUCCAUAUCUUUCUUGACACCAUCACAAGAGUAUAGGUAGAAAAAUCUGAAUAGGUUUAGUUCGCUAAAACUUUUUGUAUUUUUUGGUUUUGAACAAAUAAAUGUCCAAACAAAAUAUACUUCUGCAUUUUUAGCCCCCCCCCCCACGAUCCUGGACCCCCUAGUAAUUUUAUCCAUUGCAGAAAUUCAAAACUCACCGUCAUUUGGUUAUGUCACUAUGCUCACAAAAUUAAAGGGGAAAUCGGUCACUGCUAGUAUUUUGGGUAUGACAAACAGCUCUAUCACUACUAGAAGACAUGGAUAUUGCAUUUGUUGAAAACAAUUUCAAACGGUAUGUAUUCAUGUCACCUUAACUUUUUUGUUUGUGUCAUUCCUAUUUUUCCACCUUCACCUUUGCCCCACCCACCUGUGUGAUCAUGUUUCUUCAAUGGAGGAAAUAUUUGUUUUACCUACCAAAGGAGAGAAACUCCUGAACUGACUGGUGUAAGUGUGCGGAGAGAAACUAAGAUAUUAUGAAUCGCUGAAACUAAGACAGGGCGAUUAAAAACAAAUGCAUUUCCUGCUCUUUGCUUUCUUUGCUCAAGUCAUAUUUAAUUUUUUAUUAUUUGCAGGAAAUAAAGUAACUUUUGUGCACGUUUUGGAAAGAAAUGUAGACAUUGGGUGCCACAACAUUGUCAAAAGAACUACAGAAAUAAAGAUGUGAAAUGCUCAAACUACAAAUUCUCGUUCUGUGUUGCGUGUGUGUAACAAUGUUCAUUGGAAAAUAAAGUUGAUGGAAGUUCA